rfam:Asian citrus Psyllid, Diaphorina citri - Florida Strain, whole genome shotgun sequence.
GCCUAGUUAGCUUAGUUGGUAGUGCGUCUGCCUUGUAAGCGCUAGGCCGCGGGUUCGAUUCCCGCCCGAGGCA